rnacentral:rRNA from 1 species
AGUGAACGCUGGCGGUAGGCCUAACACAUGCAAGUCGAACGGCAGCACAGUAAGAGCUUGCUCUUACGGGUGGCGAGUGGCGGACGGGUGAGGAAUACAUCGGAAUCUACUUUUUCGUGGGGGAUAACGUAGGGAAACUUACGCUAAUACCGCAUACGACCUACGGGUGAAAGCAGGGGAUCUUCGGACCUUGCGCGAUUGAAUGAGCCGAUGUCGGAUUAGCUAGUUGGCGGGGUAAAGGCCCACCAAGGCGACGAUCCGUAGCUGGUCUGAGAGGAUGAUCAGCCACACUGGAGCUGAGACACGGUCCAGACUCCUACGGGAGGCAGCAGUGGGGAAUAUUGGACAAUGGGCGCAAGCCUGAUCCAGCCAUACCGCGUGGGUGAAGAAGGCCUUCGGGUUGUAAAGCCCUUUUGUUGGGAAAGAAAAGCAGCAGGUUAAUACCCCGCUGUUCUGACGGUACCCAAAGAAUAAGCACCGGCUAACCUCGUG